UCCCAGAAGAAAAACGAAAAACAUAAAGUCUCAUAGAAAUUGGUUGGGUCUCACAUAAAGUCUACUUUUCACCAACAUCUUUAAUCUAACACAGCUGAGUCUGAGACUAACGUUCUACUACAAGAUAUUCAUGCAUUGCUGAAAUACUUAGCAGUACUUCAGAGAAAACAGGUGUCAGGAUUUAUUCUUUCCCAUGAAGGAACCAUUGAACAUUAGCAUCGCAUGCA